UACGUAGGGUGCGAGCGUUAAUCGGAAUUACUGGGCGUAAAGCGUGCGCAGGCGGGCUUUUAAGCCAGACGUGAAAUCCCCGGGCUUAACCUGGGAAUGGCGUUUGGGACUGGAAGUCUGGAGUGCGGCAGAGGAGACUGGAAUUCCUGGUGUAGCAGUGAAAUGCGUAGAUAUCAAGCAGACCACCUGCGGCGAAGGCGGCCUUCUGGACGGUGACUGACGCUGAGACGCGAAAGCGUGGGGAGCAAACAGG
rnacentral:rRNA from 1 species